CCCUUAGAUGUCCUGGGCCGCACGCGCGUUACACUGAUGCACUCAACGAGCAUAUAACCUUGGCCGAGAGGCCUGGGUAAUCUUGUUAACAUGCAUCGUGAUAGGGAUAGAUUAUUGCAAUUAUUAAUCUUGAACGAGGAAUUCCUAGUAAUCGCGGUUCAUCAAACCGCAAUGAUUACGUCCCUGCCCUUUGUACACACCGCCCGUCGCACCUACCGAUUGAAUGGUCCGGUGAGGACUCGGGAUUGUGGUUUGGCUCCUUCAUUGGGGCCUGACCGCGAGAACUUGUCCGAACCUUAUCAUUUAGAGGAAGGUGAAGUCGUAACA
rnacentral:rRNA from 1 species